AGGGAAUCUUCGGCAAUGGACGGAAGUCUGACCGAGCAACGCCGCGUGAGUGAGGAAGGUCUUCGGAUCGUAAAGCUCUGUUGCCAGGGAAGAAGGAUCUUCAGAGUAACUGCUGGAGAUUUGACGGUACCUGAGAAGAAAGCCCCGGCUAACUACGUGCCAGCAGCCGCGGUAAUACGUAGGGGGCAAGCGUUGUCCGGAAUUAUUGGGCGUAAAGCGCGCGCAGGCGGUUCUUAAGUCUGGUGUUUAAGCCCGUGGCUCAACCACGGGACGCACUGGAAACUGGGGGACUGGAGUGCAGGAGAGGAAAGUGGAAUUCCACGUGUAGCGGUGAAAUGCGUAGAGAUGUGGAGGAACACCAGUGGCGAAGGCGACUUUCUGGCCUGUAACUGACGCUGAGGCGCGAAAGCGUGGGGAGCAAAC
rnacentral:rRNA from 1 species